rnacentral:rRNA from 1 species
GGGGAAUUUUGCGCAAUGGGCUAACGCCUGACGCAGCAACGCCGCGUGGAGGAUGAAGGUCUUUGGAUUGUAAACUCCUGUCAGCAGGGAAAAAGCGACUCGGCUUAAUACGCCGGGGAGUUGAUUGUACCUGCAGAGGCAGCCCCGGCUAACUACGUGCCAACAGCCGCGGUAAAACGUAGGAGGCCAGCGUUAUCCGGAUUCACUGGGCGUAAAGCGCGUGCAGGUGGUUCGGUAAGUUGGGCGUGAAAUCUCCCGGCUCAACUGGGAGAGGUCGUUCAAUACUACCGAACUUGAGAGCAGAAGAGGAAGAUGGAAUUCCCGGUGUAGUGGUGAAAUGCGUAGAUAUCGGGAGGAACACCAGUGGCGAAGGCGAUCUUCUGGUCUGUUUCUGACACUCAGACGCGACAGCUAGGGUAGUAAA